rnacentral:rRNA from 1 species
AGAGUUUGAUCAUGGCUCAGAUUGAACGCUGGCGGCAGGCCUAACACAUGCAAGUCGAGCGGUAGCACAGAGAGCUUGCUCUCGGGUGACGAGCGGCGGACGGGUGAGUAAUGUCUGGGAAACUGCCUGAUGGAGGGGGAUAACUACUGGAAACGGUAGCUAAUACCGCAUAACGUCGCAAGACCAAAGUGGGGGACCUUCGGGCCUCAUGCCAUCAGAUGUGCCCAGAUGGGAUUAGCUUGUAGGUGGGGUAACGGCUCACCUAGGCGACGAUCCCUAGCUGGUCUGAGAGGAUGACCAGCCACACUGGAACUGAGACACGGUCCAGACUCCUACGGGAGGCAGCAGUGGGGAAUAUUGCACAAUGGGCGCAAGCCUGAUGCAGCCAUGCCGCGUGUGUGAAGAAGGCCUUCGGGUUGUAAAGCACUUUCAGCGGGGAGGAAGGCGUUAAGGUUAAUAACCUUGGCGAUUGACGUUACCCGCAGAAGAAGCACCGGCUAACUCCGUGCCAGCAGCCGCGGUAAUACGGAGGGUGCAAGCGUUAAUCGGAAUUACUGGGCGUAAAGCGCACGCAGGCGGUCUGUCAAGUCGGAUGUGAAAUCCCCGGGCUCAACCUGGGAACUGCAUUCGAAACUGGCAGGCUAGAGUCUUGUAGAGGGGGGUAGAAUUCCAGGUGUAGCGGUGAAAUGCGUAGAGAUCUGGAGGAAUACCGGUGGCGAAGGCGGCCCCCUGGACAAAGACUGACGCUCAGGUGCGAAAGCGUGGGGAGCAAACAGGAUUAGAUACCCUGGUAGUCCACGCCGUAAACGAUGUCGAUUUGGAGGUUGUGCCCUUGAGGCGUGGCUUCCGGAGCUAACGCGUUAAAUCGACCGCCUGGGGAGUACGGCCGCAAGGUUAAAACUCAAAUGAAUUGACGGGGGCCCGCACAAGCGGUGGAGCAUGUGGUUUAAUUCGAUGCAACGCGAAGAACCUUACCUGGUCUUGACAUCCACAGAACUUUCCAGAGAUGGAUUGGUGCCUUCGGGAACUGUGAGACAGGUGCUGCAUGGCUGUCGUCAGCUCGUGUUGUGAAAUGUUGGGUUAAGUCCCGCAACGAGCGCAACCCUUAUCCUUUGUUGCCAGCGGUUCGGCCGGGAACUCAAAGGAGACUGCCAGUGAUAAACUGGAGGAAGGUGGGGAUGACGUCAAGUCAUCAUGGCCCUUACGACCAGGGCUACACACGUGCUACAAUGGCAUAUACAAAGAGAAGCGACCUCGCGAGAGCAAGCGGACCUCAUAAAGUAUGUCGUAGUCCGGAUUGGAGUCUGCAACUCGACUCCAUGAAGUCGGAAUCGCUAGUAAUCGUAGAUCAGAAUGCUACGGUGAAUACGUUCCCGGGCCUUGUACACACCGCCCGUCACACCAUGGGAGUGGGUUGCAAAAGAAGUAGGUAGCUUAACCUUCGGGAGGGCGCUUACCACUUUGUGAUUCAUGACUGGGGUGAAGUCGUAACAAGGUAACCGUAGGGGAACCUGCGGUUGGAUCACCU